UGAACCUACUGACAUGCUUCUCUAGGAAGAGCAGGUAGGAAGAACCUGCCAGGCAAUUAUAAAUUUGGGAGCUCACCCAGGAUGUACCCUUGCAGAUGCCUGUCUGAGGUUUGUCAGCCCACUACCGGUACACAGACCUGGAGGUGAAAUCUGGUGGCCACUUGUUUCUCUUGAACUGACGGCCAUCUGUGGUGCUGUCCCUGUUGGGGGCAGUAUUACUGACCUAUAGUGCCUGGACCUAAUUGCAGUGGAGAAAUAGUUCUUGGAAGACAUCUUUAAACUGGUCUGAUACUAAGUUCCCAAGAGCCUGAAAGAGACAUUUGGCUUAUUUGUUAUGUUACAGUCACAAGGAAGCAUUGUCAGAGUCAAGAAAACAUAUUUUCUUUUGAGCCAUUUACAACAUUUAAUAGUUGAGUAAAGUAUACUACCGUGAGAAAAAAUAGAACAUAUCUAUAUGUCUCUACAUGAUUUCUCCAGAAUUUUGAAAAAAUUGCCCAGGAACCCCAAGUUAUUUUUGGACUUCAAGAAGAGAGAAAUUCACUCAAUUUAUACAGGUAUCUGCAGGCACAAAUAAAUCCUUGGCUGGAUUCAAGAGGCUUUUAAAAGACCUAAUUUGAGAUUCCUUAUGAAAAACUUCCAGCAAAGCCAUAAAAAAAAAAAAAAAAAAAAAGCCUAUCUGGCUACAAAUUAGGUCAACUGUGAUAAGACUAAAGCUUAUUUUGCAAAUAAAUUGGUCCUACUCUGAUGUGUCUUUGGCAGAAAUGUAGAGAGAAAAAUUAUGUUUCACAAAAACUAUAGUACACUUAUUAGAUUGCAGCCCUGUUCAUUGUUUUUGAGUCUCUCUGAUGACCCAACAUUUGAUAGGUUCUCGGGGUUAUUCACAUAGAUCUCUCAAGGCUUCGAAUUAGCUCUCUAUGGACUCCUGAAGCUAGGGCUUUCACUCCUGUGAUAGCGCUUACUAAAACUGUGGAUAAGAGUGCCUGAAGCAGCUACAUUGCCUGGGUAUAUACUCUGGGGUUCGUUGUCUCACGCCAGGAAAAUUUAGGACAUGGACACACAGUAGGAGCUUAGGAAUGGAGGUUUAGUAGGCAGAAGAGAAGAGGAAGAGAAACAGCUUUCUUUAUAUAUAGAGAGAGGGGUCUCUGAGCAGAAAGGACCAGCUGGCAGUGG
rnacentral:lncRNA from 10 species